rnacentral:rRNA from 1 species
UGGGGAAUAUUGGACAAUGGGCGCAAACCUGAUCCAGCCAUGCCGCGUGUGUGAAGAAGGCCUUAUGGUUGUAAAGCACUUUAAGCGAGGAGGAGGCUACUUUAGUUAAUACCUAGAGAUAGUGGACGUUACUCGCAGAAUAAGCACCGGCUAACUCUGUGCCAGCAGCCGCGGUAAUACAGAGGGUGCAAGCGUUAAUCGGAUUUACUGGGCGUAAAGCGCGCGUAGGCGGCUAAUUAAGUCAAAUGUGAAAUCCCGAGCUUAACUUGGGAAUUGCAUUCGAUACUGGUUAGCUAGAGUGUGGGAGAGGAUGGUAGAAUUCCAGGUGUAGCGGUGAAAUGCGUAGAGAUCUGGAGGAAUACCGAUGGCGAAGGCAGCCAUCUGGCCUAACACUGACGCUGAGGUGCGAAAGCAUGGGGAGCAAACAGGAUUAGAUACCCUGGUAGUCCAUGCCGUAAACGAUGUCUACUAGCCGUUGGGGCCUUUGAGGCUUUAGUGGCGCAGCUAACGCGAUAAGUAGACCGCCUGGGGAGUAUGGUCGCAAGACUAAAACUGCAAAUGAAUUGACGGGGUCAUAGCUGUUUCCU